UUCUCGAGCAUAGGAUGAUCUCUUUGUGAAUAUUUCAUGAUUUUGUGGGAUAUUGGAGAUGCCUCUUUAAGAGAAUAUUUAAUCCUUUAUAUAAGUGUAAUUUAGGGUUAAGGUGGAGUAACCUGUAAGUUAGGCAGACCGCUCUCUCUCUCCCGGAUUUAAUGCCCAACAACUUAAAAGCUAACAUCAUCGCUGCGUGAGUUCACACGACACCGCCAUGGAGCCAUCUAUGGCGGGAAAACAGUGCAUAGUGCAUAUCACUCAGUCGAAUGAUCCCCCACCAACUUCAAUUAACGAUAAUAGCGGCAGCACCCAGAAACUUUCAUAUCUUCAAGCUCUCAAUGAAGCCUGUACUGAAAAUUCUCCAUUAAAAAUCAAGUGGUAGCCAAACACACAACCCACAAUGGUAAACCAGCUAUGAUCUUCAAAGCUACUGACUAUUAUGGUGUAAUGGCGGCGGAAUGUAAAUUAACUUUGGUCAGCAAAUUCACGACGGGGAGGCCCAGAAUUGAGCUUAUCCGACCAAAAUUCUUGGAACAAACUCCCUUAACGGGCAAGGGCUCCUAUCAAGGAAUCCUAUAACCACUUAUUUACAGAUGGAGAAAUGGCAAGAAGAUCCUGACAAUGGGUUUCAAGACCACUUGAUAUUGACUUCAAUAGUCACAAUAUUAUUCAAAUUCUAGACAACUGAUGGAAAGCUAAUACCAACAAUGUUGUUCACAAUUUGAUAAUAAUCGUUAUGCCAAA